GACGAACGCUGGCGGCGUGCUUAACACAUGCAAGUCGAACGGAAAGGCCCUGCUUUUGUGGGGUGCUCGAGUGGCGAACGGGUGAGUAACACGUGAGUAACCUGCCCUUGACUUUGGGAUAACUUCAGGAAACUGGGGCUAAUACCGGCUCGGAGCUCCUGCUGACUGGUGGGGGUUGGAAAGUUUCGGCGGUUGGGGAUGGACUCGCGGCUUAUCAGCUUGUUGGUGGGGUAGUGGCUUACCAAGGCUUUGACGGGUAGCCGGCCUGGGAGGGUGACCGGCCACAUGGGGACUGAGAUACGGCCCAGACUCCAACGGGACGCAGCAGGGGGGAAUAUUGCACAAUGGGCGGAAGCCUGUGGCAGCAACCCCGCGUGCGGGAUGACGGCCUUCGGGUUGGAAACCGCGUUCGCCUGUGACGAAGCGUGAGUGACGGUAAUGGGUAAAGAAGCACCGGCUAACUACGUG
rnacentral:rRNA from 1 species